rnacentral:rRNA from 1 species
GAUGAACGCUGGCGGCGUGCCUAAUACAUGCAAGUCGAGCGAACGGACGAGAAGCUUGCUUCUCUGAUGUUAGCGGCGGACGGGUGAGUAACACGUGGAUAACCUACCUAUAAGACUGGGAUAACUUCGGGAAACCGGAGCUAAUACCGGAUGAUAUUUUGAACCGCAUGGUUCAAAAGUGAAAGACGGUCUUGCUGUCACUUAUAGAUGGAUCCGCGCUGCAUUAGCUAGUUGGUAAGGUAACGGCUUACCAAGGCAACGAUGCAUAGCCGACCUGAGAGGGUGAUCGGCCACACUGGAACUGAGACACGGUCCAGACUCCUACGGGAGGCAGCAGUAGGGAAUCUUCCGCAAUGGGCGAAAGCAUGACGGAGCAACGCCGCGUGAGUGAUGAAGGUCUUCGGAUCGUAAAACUCUGUUAUUAGGGAAGAACAUAUGUGUAAGUAACUGUGCACAUCUUGACGGUACCUAAUCAGAAAGCCACGGCUAACUACGUG